CAGCCGCCGCGGGAAUACGUAGGGUGCAAGCGUUAAUCGGAAUUACUGGGCGUAAAGCGUGCGCAGGCGGUUAUAUAAGACAGAUGUGAAAUCCCCGGGCUCAACCUGGGAACUGCAUUUGUGACUGUAUAGCUAGAGUACGGCAGAGUGGGAUGGAAUUCCGCGUGUAGCAGUGAAAUGCGUAGAUAUGCGGAGGAACACCGAUGGCGAAGGCAAUCCCCUGGGCCUGUACUGACGCUCAUGCACGAAAGCGUGGGGAGCAAACAGGAUUAGAUACCCCCGUAGUCCCUGUCUCUUAUAA
rnacentral:rRNA from 1 species